rnacentral:rRNA from 1 species
UACGUAGGGGGCUAGCGUUGUCCGGAUUUAUUGGGCGUAAAGAGCGUGUAGGCGGCCAGGUAGGUCUGCUGUGAAAACUCGAGGCUCAACCUCGAGACGUCGGCGGAAACCAUCUGGCUAGAGUCCGGAAGAGGAGAGUGGAAUUCCUGGUGUAGCGGUGAAAUUCGUAGAUAUCGGGAGGAACACCAGUGGCGAAGGCGACUACCUGGCCUGUUCUUGACGCUGAGGCGCGAAAGCUAGGGGAGCAAACGGG